rnacentral:rRNA from 1 species
AACGAACGCUGGCGGCAGGCCUAACACAUGCAAGUCGAGCGGACGAAGCGAGCUUGUUCCUGGUUUCAGCGGCGGGCGGGUGAGUAAUGCCUAGGAAUCUGCCUGGUAGUGGGGGAUAACGUCCGGAAACGGCCGCUGAUACCGCCUACGUCCUGCGGCAGACCGUGGGGGAUGUUUGGACCUCACGCUAUCAGCCGAGCCUAGGCCGGCUUAGCUAGUUGGUGGGGUAAAGGCCUACCAAGGCGACGAUCCGUAAAUGGGCUGCGUGGCUGGCCGGUCACACUAGAGCUGAGACACCGUCCAGAGUCCUAGGGGAGGCCCCAGAGUGGAAUAUUGGACAAUGGGCGAAAGCCUGACCCAGCGAUCCCGCGCGUGUGGAAGGGGUCCUCGGUGUGGAAAGCACUUUAAGGUGGGAGAAAGGGCAAUAACUUAAUACCGUGCGGUUGUGACGUUACCAGGAAAAGAAGCACCGGCUAACUUCGUG